rnacentral:rRNA from 1 species
GUCUUCGGACCCGAGUGGCGCACGGGUGAGUAACACGUAACUGACCUACCCAGAAGUCAUGAAUAACUGGCCCGAAAGGUCAGCUAAUACGUGAUGUGGUGAUUUGCCGUGGCAAAUCACUAAAGAUUUAUCGCUUCUGGAUGGGGUUGCGUUCCAUCAGCUGGUUGGUGGGGUAAAGGCCUACCAAGGCGACCACGGAUAGCCGGCCUGAGAGGGUGGCCGGCCACAGGGGCACUGAGACACGGGUCCCACUCCUACGGGAGGCAGCAGUUAGGAAUCUUCCACAAUGGGCGCAAGCCUGAUGGAGCGACGCCCCGUGAGGGAUGAAGGUUUUCGGAUCGUAAACCUCUUAAUCUGGGACGAAAGAGCCUUCGGGCAGAUGACGGUACCAGAGUAAUAGCACCGGCUAACUCCGUGCCAGCAGCCGCGGUAAUACGGAGGGUGCAAGCGUUACCCGGAAUCACUGGGCCGUAAAGGGCGUGUAGGCCGGAUAUUUAAUGUCUGGUUUUAAAGACCGAGGCUCAACCUCUGGAGUGGACUGGAUACUGGAUGUCUUGACCUCUGGAGAGGGAACUUGGAAUUCCUGGUGUCCCGGGGGCAAGUUGCCUCCCACCCUCCUCCUCUCCCUCUACUUUCUCCUCUCUU